UGUUAAUGCAUAAUCCAUGCAAUCUGCUCUUCGAGAGGGUUUCUUGUGUGGAAACUAACAAUAAUAAUUUAAAACAUUUAAAUAACAAACAAAAAAAUAGAUUUGCAAUUUGUGUGUGUGUGUGUGCAGUGUGUGUGUGUGUGUGUGUGUGUGUGUGUGGUUCGGACACAACAC
rnacentral:sRNA from 1 species